AGAAAGGUUUUAAGAUCACCUAAAUUCUCAUUUUAAAAAGUUUAAUUUGCUUUAGUCAUCUAAAAAGCCUUAGUCUAGCCAGUUUAAUUGGGGCCAAUUCUUCCCUAUUAAACAACUGUAAAACCUCAUAACUAGUUGUGUGUAAUACAUCGUUUGGUUAAUAAUUGAGGGCGUUCUUAAAAGUGACAAGGGUUUAAUAAAGUUGUUUGUUAAUCAUCUGGCUUAAGUUUUAAUGGUAGAUUAUGUAAAAUGUUUAUCUUUAGUUUCAGGGUGGGGGGCUUCCUUAUAUUUAUUUUGAGUAAACAGAUUUCUUCUUUUGUUAGGAAAUGUCGACCACCUUGGACUGUCAGAGGAGCUCAGCGUGACUUAGAGCAAACAAAGGAACUGCUCCUGGGGAGGCUGCUUAAGGACACCUCACCAUCGUGCCUACUCAGCAAACGAACCACUGGCUCGAGAACUUGACAGUCAUCAAUCGAUUAUUGUUCUGUCCCAGAUUUAUGUUUUUGGAAUGCUUUUAUGAAACAGUGUGCUUUUUUUUUUUUUUUUAAUUUAGAAGGUUUUUAUUUCUUCUUAAAGAAAAUUCUAUUUUGUUGUGUGAGAAACAAAAAAUGAUUUGUAUUGUAGCUAAUAAAGGCUCCCCAU